rnacentral:lncRNA from 1 species
GGGAUCAAGUGGGGAGGUAACCAAGCUAAUGGUGAUCAAUUUUUGAAUGCCAAAAAGAUGAGGAGAUGUGCAUGAAAAGUUCCUACGGGAGAGGCACAGGAUGAAGGUCCAAGGGUGUGAGGUUUGUUGGCUUCUACCCCUUCUUUCUUACCAACAACCAAAGGUUGGUUGUUAGGGUCUUCUCUCCCAUCUUUUAUCCUAGUUUGGAUAUGAAUUUUUCUCUUCUCUUUAUCCAAGAGUUGGAUAAAAAUUUUUAUAUCUCUAGUAUAGAGAUUUGUUGCAUGGGUUUUAC